rnacentral:rRNA from 1 species
GCAUAUCAAUAAGCGGAGGAAAAGAAACCAACAGGGAUUGCCUCAGUAACGGCGAGUGAAGCGGCAAGAGCUCAAAUUUGAAAGCUGGCCCCUUCGGGGUCCGCGUUGUAAUUUGCAGAGGAUGCUUCGGGUGCAGCCCCCGUCUAAGUGCCCUGGAACGGGCCGUCAUAGAGGGUGAGAAUCCCGUCUGGGACGGGGUGUCUGCGUCCGUGUGAAGCUCCUUCGACGAGUCGAGUUGUUUGGGAAUGCAGCUCUAAAUGGGUGGUAAAUUUCAUCUAAAGCUAAAUACUGGCCGGAGACCGAUAGCGCACAAGUAGAGUGAUCGAAAGAUGAAAAGCACUUUGAAAAGAGAGUUAAACAGCACGUGAAAUUGUUGAAAGGGAAGCGUUUGCGACCAGACUCGCCCGCGGGGUUCAGCCGGCAUUCGUGCCGGUGUACUUCCCCGUGGGCGGGCCAGCGUCGGUUUGGGCGGCCGGUCAAAGGCCCUCGGAAUGUAUCACCUCUCGGGGUGUCUUAUAGCCGAGGGUGCAAUGCGGCCUGCCUGGACCGAGGAACGCGCUUCGGCUCGGACGCUGGCGUAAUGGUCGUAAAUGACCCGUCUUGAAACACGGACC